UACGGAGGGCGCAAGCGUUGUUCGGAUUUACUGGGCGUAAAGGGCGCGUAGGCGGCGGGUCAAGUCGAGUGUGAAAGCCCCGGGCUCAACCUGGGAAUUGCGCUCGAGACUGAUUUGCUGGAGUUCGGGAGAGGAGCGUGGAAUUCCCAGUGUAGAGGUGAAAUUCGUAGAUAUUGGGAAGAACACCGGUGGCGAAGGCGGCGCUCUGGACCGAGACUGACGCUGAGGCGCGAAGGCGUGGGGAGCAAGCAGG
rnacentral:rRNA from 1 species